rnacentral:miRNA from 1 species
ACUCGAGGCCGGUGAGCUGC